rnacentral:tRNA from 1 species
GACGAGGUGGCCGAGUGGUUAAGGCGAUGGACUGCUAAUCCAUUGUGCUCUGCAUGCAUGGGUUCAAAUCCCAUAUUCGUCG